rnacentral:tRNA from 1 species
GGUCUUGUGGCCGAGUGGCUAGGCACCAGUCUGCAAAACUGUGUACAGCGGUUCGAAUCCGCUCGAGACCU